rnacentral:rRNA from 1 species
CCCUGCGGGGGAAGGGGGGGGAUCGCAAGACCUCUCACUAUUGGAGCGGCCGAUAUCGGAUUAGCUAGUUGGUGGGGUAAAGGCUCACCAAGGCAACGAUCCGUAGCUGGUUUGAGAGGACGACCAGCCACACUGGGACUGAGACACGGCCCACACUCCUACGGGAGGCAGCAGUGGGGAAUUUUGGACAAUGGGGGAAACCCUGAUCCAGCCAUCCCGCGUGUAUGAUGAAGGCCUUCGGGUUGUAAAGUACUUUUGGCAGAGAAGAAAAGGUAUCCCCUAAUACGGGAUACUGCUGACGGUAUCUGCAGAAUAAUCACCGGCUAACUACGUGCCAGCAGCCGCGGUAAUACGUAGGGUGCAAGCGUUAAUCGGAAUUACUGGGCGUAAAGCGUGUGUAGGCGGUUCGGAAAGAAAGAUGUGAAAUCCCAGGGCUCAACCUUGGAACUGCAUUUUUAACUGCCGAGCUAGAGUAUGUCAGAGGGGGGUAGAAUUCCACGUGUAUCAGGGAAAUGCGUAGAUAUGUGGAGGAAUACCGAUGGCGAAGGCAGCCCCCUGGGAUAAUACUGACGCUCAGACACGAAGAGCGUGCGGAGCAGACAGGAUUAGAUACCCUGGUAGUCCACGCCCUACACGAUGUCAACUAACUGUUGGUGCCGUUAGGCCUUAUUAGCGCAUCUAACGCGUGAAGUUGACCGCCUGGGGAGUACGGUCGCAAGAUUAACACUCAGAGGAAUUUGACGGGGGACCCGCACAAGCGCUGGAUGAAUGUGGAAUUAAUUUCGAUGCAACGCGAAAAAACCUUACCUACCCCUUGACAUGUCUGGAAAGCCCAAAAAAAUUUGGCCCGUGCUCGCAAGAGAACCCGGAAACACAGGUGCUGGCAUGGGCUGUCCAUCAGCUCCUGUCCCUGAAAAUGUUUGGGGUUAAGUUUCCCCGCCAC